UACGUAGGGGGCGAGCGUUGUCCGGAUUUAUUGGGCGUAAAGAGCUCGUAGGCGGUUUGUCGCGUCGGAUGUGAAAACCCAGGGCUCAACCCUGGGCCUGCAUUCGAUACGGGCAGACUAGAGUAUGGCAGGGGAGACUGGAAUUCCUGGUGUAGCGGUGAAAUGCGCAGAUAUCAGGAGGAACACCGGUGGCGAAAGCGGCUCACUGGACCGCAACUGACGCUGAGGCGCGAAAGCUAGGGGAGCAAACAGG
rnacentral:rRNA from 1 species